rnacentral:misc_RNA from 1 species
CACAUAGCGGGAGUCCGGAAGAUAGUCCCCCUGUAGCAAAAAUUACGGGGGGUAGGACUCGCGCCCCGAGCAAUCGGGUCACCCUGCUUUUUGAGCACCAUUCGUUUCCUCGGCGGGCCUGCCCGCCAACGGGGACCCCCUAAAACCUCUGUAAUGAGCAGUAACUAUCAGUAAAUAUAAAAUUUAUCA